rnacentral:tRNA from 1 species
GCCUUCGUGAAAAUCAGCGGUGGAUUAUGCCGUUCCGGGACUCUUCCUACUUCUCCUUCCGGAUAGGCAUGGUCGCGGGUUCGAACCCCGCCGGAGGCA